GCCCUCGUAGCUCAGUGGUAGAGCACUUCCUUGGUAAGGAAGAGGUCGGCAGUUCAAUCCUGCCCGGGGGCU
rnacentral:tRNA from 1 species